rnacentral:rRNA from 1 species
UACAGAGGUCCCAAGCGUUGUUCGGAUUCACUGGGCGUAAAGGGCUCGUAGGCGGCCGGCUAAGUCCGACGUGAAAUCCCCAGGCUUAACCUGGGAACUGCGUCGGAUACUGGCGGGCUUGAAUCCGGGAGAGGGAUGCGGAAUUCCAGGUGUAGCGGUGAAAUGCGUAGAUAUCUGGAGGAACACCGGUGGCGAAGGCGGCAUCCUGGACCGGCAUUGACGCUGAAUAGCGAAAGCCAGGGGAGCAAACGGG